UACGAAGGGGGCUAGCGUUGCUCGGAAUUACUGGGCGUAAAGGGUGCGUAGGCGGGUCUUUAAGUCAGGGGUGAAAUCCUGGAGCUCAACCCCGGAACUGCCUUUGAUACUGAGGAUCUUGAGCUCGGGAGAGGUGAGUGGAACUGCGAGUGUAGAGGUGAAAUUCGUAGAUAUUCGCAAGAACACCAGUGGCGAAGGCGGCUCACUGGCCCGAUACUGACGCUGAGGCACGAAAGCGUGGGGAGCAAACAGG
rnacentral:rRNA from 1 species